CGUUGUCCGGAAUUAUUGGGCGUAAAGCGCGCGCAGGCGGUUCUUUAAGUCUGAUGUGAAAGCCCACGGCUCAACCGUGGAGGGUCAUUGGAAACUGGAGAACUUGAGUACAGAAGAGGAAAGCGGAAUUCCACGUGUAGCGGUGAAAUGCGUAGAGAUGUGGAGGAACACCAGUGGCGAAGGCGGCUUUCUGGUCUGUAACUGACGCUGAGGCGCGAAAGCGUGGGGAGCAAACAGG
rnacentral:rRNA from 1 species